UGGGGAAUAUUGCACAAUGGGCGCAAGCCUGAUGCAGCGACGCCGCGUGAGGGAUGACGGCCUUCGGGUUGUAAACCUCUUUCAGUAGGGAAGAAGGCCUUCGGGUUGACGGUACCUGCAGAAGAAGCGCCGGCUAACUACGUGCCAGCAGCCGCGGUAAUACGUAGGGCGCAAGCGUUGUCCGGAAUUAUUGGGCGUAAAGAGCUCGUAGGCGGUUUGUCGCGUCUGCUGUGAAAACGCGAGGCUUAACCUCGCGCCUGCAGUGGGUACGGGCAGACUAGAGUGCGGUAGGGGAGACUGGAAUUCCUGGUGUAGCGGUGGAAUGCGCAGAUAUCAGGAGGAACACCGGUGGCGAAGGCGGGUCUCUGGGCCGUUACUGACGCUGAGGAGCGAAAGCAUGGGGAGCGAACAGGAUUAGAUACCCUGGUAGUCCAUGCCGUAAACGUUGGGCACUAGGUGUGGGACCCAUUCCACGGGUUCCGUGCCGCAGCUAACGCAUUAAGKGCCC
rnacentral:rRNA from 1 species